rnacentral:lncRNA from 1 species
CAGGAGACGAUGAGGUGUCUUCUUUGCCAUAGGAAACAAAGCAAACCAAAGCAGUCACCAUAGUCAAGAACAAAACAGAGAACCCAACAAAAGCCUUCAUAAUGCGAGUACACAAAAAGAGCUCACCAACUGAGAAAAUAAGAGUGAUCUGAGUUCUGCUUCACACCCUUUCAAUAAACACAAAUUGAAUAUUCAGCCCAUUAUUUGAAAAGUUUGUUCGAAAGCCGCGUUUUGUCACCUUAUUUUCGGAUUCUGAAAGCCAACAAUGGACCAGAAAAUCCGUGGAGAUAAGAAGAAUUAGAAAAGCAUUUUAGCCCAUGUUGCAGUCUCUAUAUGUACAUGUAUAAAAUACAUUAAUAUCGUAAUACUAAGAAAAAGAAAACGGAAAAUAGAUAGAAAGAGAAG